AAACCGAGGUCUCCGGGAGAGGAAGUUAUUCUAACUUUUUUGGAAACCCUAGCCGGGCUGGGUUGCUAAAUAGUUGUCAGUAGCGAGGGCGGCGCGCUGAUUGGUCGCCGCGACCGGGGGCAGGACGAGUUCUGGGGCCUCCGCCGGCCGCCCCCGCCCCCCGGCGCGGCACUUUCAGUUUUGCCUCCCCCUUCGGCCCCGGCCGCGGCGGGCACCCGGGACUGCCCGGCCUUCGCGCGCGCCGCCCGCGCCUCCGCCCCGGGCUCUGACCGCUCUCCGGCCGUGCCGCGGGCUCAGCCGAUCCCGCUUUGUCUGCUCCUUAACUGGAGAUCGGGCCCCGCCGAGCUGCGGGGUCUCUCCCGCGGCGCGAGGGGUACGGGAGGCAAGUCCUACCCUAGAUGCGCUCCCAGGAGAGGGGAGGGAAGGCGUCACUUUUCUGGUGCGGAACCCAGCAGCCCGGGGGGCUGGCAGAGGUGGCGGUGACAGUCGCUCCCUGAUUCCAGCCGGGUUCUGGAGCCAGUUUUCCUGAUACGGUGAGUCAAGGGCUCCACUCUGCACCACAGUUUGCAAGUCAGUCCAAAGCGCUCUACGUAGAAUCUGUCAUCAGUCCCACUGCAA
rnacentral:lncRNA from 1 species